rnacentral:rRNA from 1 species
AUUGAACGCUGGCGGCAUGCCUUACACAUGCAAGUCGAACGGCAGCACGGGGCAACCUGGUGGCGAGUGGCGAACGGGUGAGUAAUGCAUCGGAACGUACCUUUCAGUGGGGGAUAACGUAGCGAAAGUUACGCUAAUACCGCAUAUUCUGUGAGCAGGAAAGCAGGGGAUCGCAAGACCUUGCGCUGAUUGAGCGGCCGAUGUCAGAUUAGCUAGUUGGUGAGGUAAAGGCUCACCAAGGCGACGAUCUGUAGCGGGUCUGAGAGGAUGAGCCGCCACACUGGAACUGCGACACGGUCCAGACCCCUACGGGAGGCAGCAGUGGGGAAUUUUGGACAAUGGGGGCAACCCUGAUCCAGCCAUGCCGCGUGAGUGAAGAAGGCCUUCGGGUUGUAAAGCUCUUUCGGCCGGGAAGAAAUCGCACGGGCUAAUACCCUGUGUGGAUGACGGUACCGGAAUAAGAAGCACCGGCUAACUACGUGCCAGCCGCCGCAGUAAGAC